GACGAACGCUGGCGGCGUGCUUAACACAUGCAAGUCGAGCGGUAAGGCUCCUUCGUUAUUACACGAGCGGCGAACGGAUGAGUAACACUUAAGUAAUUUGCCCUUCACUUCCUGUUAACCACCGUAAACGAUGGCUAAUUCCUAAUACGACCAAUCUUCGCAUGAGUUGCUGGUGGUAGGUCUUUUCGGUGAAGGAGGUGCUCGCGGCCUAUCAGCUUGUUGUUGGGGUAGUGGCGUCCAAAGGCUUCGACGGGUAGCCGGCCUGAGGGGGUGACCGGCCAGACUGGGAAUGAGACACGGCCGAGACGCCUAAGGGAGGAAGCAGUGGGGAAUGUUGGAAAAUGGGCGAAAGGCUGAUCAGGCAAAGCCGGGAGAGGGAUGACGGGGAUCGGGUUGUAAACCUUUUAAAGUACCGACGAAGGGCACUGUCGGGUGGUGACGGUAGGUAGAAAAGAAGGACCGGCUAACUACGUG
rnacentral:rRNA from 1 species